UACGUAGGGUGCGAGCGUUGUCCGGAAUUACUGGGCGUAAAGAGCUCGUAGGUGGUUUGUCGCGUUGUUCGUGAAAACUCACAGCUUAACUGUGGGCUUGCGGUCGAUACGGGCAGGCUAGAGUUCGGUAGGGGAGACUGGAAUUCCUGGUGUAGCGGUGAAAUGCGCAGAUAUCAGGAGGAACACCGGUGGCGAAGGCGGGUCUCUGGGCCGAUACUGACGCUGAGGAGCGAAAGCGUGGGGAGCGAACAGG
rnacentral:rRNA from 1 species